CAGCCUCCUGAGUACCUGGGACUACAGGUGCAAGCCACCGCGCAUAGCUAAGUUUUAAUUUAUUUUUUGUAGAUAUGAGGUUUCACUUUGUUGCCCAAGGUGAUCUCACACUCCUGGGCUCAGGAGGAUUGCUUGAGCCCACACGAUGGAGAGGUAGCACUGAGCUGAGAUAGCACCAUGGCACCCCAGCCUGGGCAACAGAGCCAGGCUUUGUCUUAAACAAACAAAGAACAUGGUUUGUCCAUUUAGAUUUCCUUUUAUGCCCUUUAGCAAGUUUUAUUUUUUUUUCCAUAAAGUUCUUGAACAUUUUGUGGUGGUUAAAUUUAUUAUUUUACUUAUUUUUACAUAUAGCUAUUAGAGAGGAUCUUUAUUUUUUAGUUCUCAUAUGUUUUCUAGUUAGUUACUACUAGAGUAACCUAUCAUCCUAGUUUAUACCUGCUACAUGCCAUCCAUUUAUUCCCAUUGUCCUGGUUUGGAUAAUAAAUUAAAUCGUGUGGCCUUAGUUAUUAACAAUUUUAUCAUUUAGGAUUUCAUUCAGUUUCAACUAAUAAAACCUCACUAGUGGAUUGUUAACAAAUAAGAGGUAUAUUUAUCUCAUAACAGAAAUCUGCAUGUAGGUGGUCCAGUGCUCGUGCAACAGCUCCAUAAUAUCUUCAGGAACCUCGCCUUGUCUUCCAGCACUACUGUCUGUAGAAUGUAUCUUUCAUCCUCAUUUGUAAGAUGGUUUCUGCACCUUCUGGCAUCUUUUCUAUCUUCGAGACAUACAGGAAUAAAAAUGCAGAGCAAAAUGAGUUUUUGUUUUCUUUUCUGGAAAGAGUGAGUUCCCC
rnacentral:lncRNA from 10 species